rfam:Myotis davidii contig33607, whole genome shotgun sequence.
AGCAGUUCUCAGGUGAUGCACCCCAGAUUUGGGCUCCCUCCUCUCUGGUUCUGGGUGUGUCACCCAUGAACCACA